AUAUCUAUGGUGGCGACCGGCGCACGGGUGCGUAACGCGUAUGCAACCUACCUUUAACAGGGGGAUAACACUGAGAAAUUGGUACUAAUACCCCAUAACAUCAUGAGAGGCAUCUUUUAUGGUUGAAAAUUCCGAUGGUUAGAGAUGGGCAUGCGUUGUAUUAGCUAGUUGGUGAGGUAACGGCUCACCAAGGCGACGAUACAUAGGGGGACUGAGAGGUUAACCCCCCACACUGGUACUGAGACACGGACCAGACUCCUACGGGAGGCAGCAGUGAGGAAUAUUGGUCAAUGGACGCAAGUCUGAACCAGCCAUGCCGCGUGCAGGAUGACGGCUCUAUGAGUUGUAAACUGCUUUUGUACUAGGGUAAACUCACCUACGUGUAGGUGACUGAAAGUAUAGUACGAAUAAGGAUCGGCUAACUCCGUGCCAGCAGCCGCGGUAAUACGGAGGAUUCAAGCGUUAUCCGGAUUUAUUGGGUUUAAAGGGUGCGUAGGCGGUUUGAUAAGUUAGAGGUGAAAUGUUAGGGCUCACCCUGAAACUGCCUCUAAUACUGUUGGACUAGAGAGUAGUUGCGGUAGGCGGAAUGUAUGGUGUAGCGGUGAAAUGCUUAGAGAUCAUACAGAACACCGAUUGCGAAGGCAGCUUACC
rnacentral:rRNA from 1 species